UACAGAGGUCUCAAGCGUUGUUCGGAUUCAUUGGGCGUAAAGGGUGCGUAGGUGGCGCCAUACGUCAGGUGUGAAAUCUCGGAGCUCAACUCCGAAACUGCACUUGAUACUGUGGUGCUUGGGUACUGGAGAGGAGAUUGGAAUUUACGGUGUAGCAGUGAAAUGCGUAGAUAUCGGAAGGAACACCGGUGGCGAAAGCGGCGCGCUGGAUCCCUACUGACGCUGAGGCACGAAAGCCAGGGGAGCAAACGGG
rnacentral:rRNA from 1 species